CCCCCCCCUCAGGAGAAGGGAGAAUGAUGCUUUUAACGCCAAGCACAGGAGUUAUACAAGCAGCAGUCAAAUCUGUAUUUUUCUUCAUCUGUUUUAUCACCUAACUCUAACAAUAUGUUUCAAUUCUCAGGCAGAGUGAGUGUGUGUUAGGGAUUGUAGUUCAGUAUGACCAGAGUCUUUUUUUUUAAACAAAGGGUCGUAUGCUCAUCUUUAAUGCUGUGAAUGUUGAAAUCCAUAGCCUGUAUGAUAUGCAAGUGGUACUGACGUGUUCUCCAUACUUCUUUAAGUCCUAAACUCAUGACCUCUCUGAUCAAUUCAAGAGGAGAUAAAACAUGGUUUGAAAUAAACUCGCAGGGAAAUGCUUGCACUUUCUUUCUGGAAUUACCAGGUUUAAAAUCUGGAUCUUCAUUUGCAUGGUGCCUGUUUUGCAUCCAGGUUUAGAGUGUAACUAGGAGACUCUUGAAUUAGCAGUGAGAGAAUAAUUCCUUCCAGGGUAUUAGUACUGCUAGACUGUGUUCUGUUUUUACACCAGAAACUCUUAAAUUUUCAUGAAGGUUUUGAUCCUAGCUACGUCACUGUAAUUACAGUGAAUUUGGCUGUGAAUACUGAACGUUUGUUUCAGAAAUUGAUAUUUUUGUGAAGCUGCGUAAGAAACUAACGGAAAUGUAAAACACAUUAAUGUUCAUAUGUUGUCUCUUAAAUUUAUUGUCCUUGGUUUUUUGGGGGGGGGGGGGGUUGCUAUUUAGAUAUGCAUAUUUUUUCUUGCAUUUUUGGUGUGGUACUUAAUUUGGCAACUUCACAGUCUUCUGAUCUGAAAAUGAUCGUUCAAAAUGCUGUUCAAGUUUUUCUGUUUGUUUUAUUUUUAGAUUAAUAUAACUUAUGUUGCUGACCCACUUUCCAUUAUGUAAAAACCUGAACAGAAUUUUGUCAUUGAGGUAGGAAUUCAUGAAGGCUGACACUAGAGGGCAAUUCAAAGCAGCAGUUUACCCCAGAACAGUUAUGGGUGCCUGUGGCCCUGUGUAGGAAAAGAGGGAGCCUAUGGAGACUGUCCAAGGUCUCCCCCAGGCAAAAGCUGGUUUUUGUGAUCACCCUCCUAAAUCAUUUUCUUAACUCGCUUUUUAUAUCCUUGAGUGCUCCACUGAAGGAGGAGGAAGUUGAGCCAGUUCUUACGCUUUGCUGAAUUACAAGUUAAGAAACAUCUUCCAGUGUCUUACCUCACUCACUCUUGCCACUGUCAGAAAGGCAUAACUUCUACAGUGAGGGCUUUUGUUUCUUUUUGAUUUGCUCUCAUGUGUUAUAUUGAACCCUUUGUCUGAAAGGUACUGGGGUUUGGGAGGUAGGGUAGCAUUGCACUGAAACUUCAAUGCCUGCUGAUAAGUAUCAACGAAAAUGGAAUAUAUGGUGAAUAAAGUAUCUUCUUACAAAAUACUGCAAAACUCUGCAAAUAAGACACUAAAUAAUUCAUUUCAUUUUUAAAAAAAAAAAAAAACAAAAACAAAAACAAAAAACAUACCACGAACAGGAUAAGGCAUCAGACAGGUACUUUGUGUCCAUAAUUUUAUCAAGGAAAAUAUAAUGUAUUGAAUGUAAAAAAAAAAAAAAAAAAAAAAUUUAGUUGAAGAUGAGCAAUCAGGUGCUGUAUUUAAUAUUUAACUGAGGAGGAGAUAUCAUCUGUGUAUAUUGUGCACAAUUUAAACAAUUUAUAUAACAGUGCAUUACAUAAUAAAUGACAGUUUUCACAGUUGCAAUGUUCGUUAUAGAUUUACAGAGCAUCCUGAAUGCUUGUAAAUAAUAACCUGUAAAGCAAAUGGUGAUGUCAUGGUUCUUGAAAAGCACUCAAGAAUUCUUAUUUUAGCAAUGCAAAUUCUCUCAUUAUAUUGAAAUGUAUGCACCCAGCCAUGUAAAUGCUGUGCCACAGUACAAAUUUCAACACAGGGGCAUUUUAAAAGUGUGUGUGUGUAUGUUUAUACUUGUGUCUCUAUCUAAUUUUAUACAUACAUAUAUAUCAUAUUAUAUAUUUUAUGUGUACUUAUAUGUAAAAAAGCUGAUCUAAGAUGAAAAUGGCAUGAUUGUUCCAACACUGUACCAGUUUUUCAGGUACUAUUAUCUUUGCAUUCUUUCGCACAACUUACUAUAAAUGUCUAAAACUUACUGUUGCUUCAACUGUUCUCAAUUUUUGUUUUAUAAAGAAUACUUACUUACAUUCACUCUGGCAGUGCCACAAAUCAAUAGAAAUACUACAGUGCGUUGUUACAGUAAACGUUUGCACCUGUUUUCUGCAGGUCUGAUCAGCAACUCCAGUGCAGUCUGAAAAAUACAUAAUCUGCUGGCAGCGAUGUGCCCAACCUUAACCAGUGCUGGAGCCUUUGGAAAAGAGGUUAUGUCAUCACACAGUAUAUACUGUAACAAUGACUGACCGUGAGGUAUCUGUGAAAGAAGAAAAUAGUUUUCUCGCUUCUUAAUCUGCAAAACGCACAGAAGGAAAAAAAGAAAGAAGGAAAGAAAAAAAAACCCCAACCAACCAAACAAAAAUGUGGAAUUUAACCCACUGAAGUUGUUAAGAUUCUCUGGGGUUUAGGGGAGGUUUUUGGGGUGGGGGAGUGUGUUGAGGAAUUAGUUGAUGAUCGUGUACAGUGAUAAGUCUUAAUCACACACGUGAACUCUUGAUUUUGAGAAUGUGACUAUUUAUACCAAAUUUACCUGAAUACUGAAGUGCUUAAAUGAAGCAUUCAUGUAAGCUUUUAAGGAACUGAAUCCUUAGUCUUUUGCAGGUAAGAUACUACCCAUUUAAAAAUAAGCAUUUUCAUGCUAACAUGACUCUUGUCUCUUUUUCCUUUUACCAGCUUGAUUUUUUGGCCCUAAAUCAGAGAGAAGUUCUGUCGUUAAGUUAACAUUAAGGCUGUCUUCAGAAUUUUGUUUAUUUGAACAAAGCAAGAACAAAUGUGGGAAUCUUUCAUUGAGAUGAUUGAAAUCGCUACAGUGAGAAUGGAAAUUACUUGGGCUUCUUUCCUUUUAAAAACUGCAUGCAAGAACUGUGUGAGGUCUACCUGCAUGGGCAGUGCCACAGUCCAGAGCUGAAUGGAACUCUCCCUGCAUUUGCCACUCUGGGGCCCUAAGGAUUGUGCCUGUUGUAAAGAAAGGAAGGCUCGCUGUUUUCAGAGUUCUUGUAAAAAUACCACCUGGUCCUGGUGAUUUAUAGCGUUUGAGUUUCUUGGGCUGCCAGCAGGCUCUUCCUUUGAGACGUCUAGGCCUGGUGAAACUCCUCUGAUUCCCCACAAAGCACGGCCUUGGGAUCGGGAUUUCCCUGCCAACCUUCUACGUUAAAACCAAAUAAUUUAUAUUGAGCCUCUUACAAGCACAACCCCCCUGGCCUUCAGGUGCUUCGUGUGUAAUGUAGCGGUGUCAUCAAACACUGUCUGCAUAAGAUCCACUUUACUUGGCUGGAUGAGCGUCACGUGAAUCUUGGAAGAAGGCUGAGCAAGCAAAGCAUCUUCCCUCGAGAUGUCACAAGCGAUACAGGCACCUGGCCUCUGGUUCUGGUUUGUUGGAGCAGAAACACAGAGGAGGACCAGAACUCUUUUUUUGCUCUUCCCAGUUCUUGCCCUGGGCUGUCAGCAAGUCUCCUCACAGGGCUAGACCUUAAUUAGAGGGUGACGUGGAACACGACAUUUGCAAAACAGAUUCUGGCUUGCUUCUACAUCAAUUCUUCUCAAGCGUAGCUCAACCCUGGGAACGCCAAGCUGUCCGAUGAUGGAAUUACUUCUGACUGCUUUGUGGUAGGUGGCCUGCAGUUCUCGGAUCCCUCAGCAGCCGUGAGGCUAGAGCAGAAAGUACCAGUAACGACGACACCAAAAUUGAUUUUGGCGAGGUUGAAUCACCUUUGGAUCCUUCAGCUGCAAGCAGACAGAGGGCCUGUAUUGAGUCUGGCUGAGAGGGAGUUAAUUUUACCCCUAGCAGCCCUUAUAGUGCUGUGCCUUGUCUUGGUAGGUACCAAGGUGUUGAUAACAACCACCCCAGGGUUUUGGCUACUGCUGAGCAGCGCUGGCACAGCAUCAAGGCUGUCCCUCCAACAUCCCCCCCCUCGCCGGUGGGCUGGGGGUGAGCAAGGUCUUGGGGAGGGGACACAGCCACGACAGCUCACCCAAAUCGACCAAAGGGAUAUCCCAUUCCAUACGCUCAGCAAUAAAACCCAAGAGAAAGGAGGAGGAAGGGGGGCAUUUGUCAUUUACGAUAUUUGUCUUCCCAAGUAAUCACCACACCUACUGAAGCCCUGCUUCCCAGGCAGUGGCUGGACACCACCUGCUGAUGUGAAGUAGAGAAUAAAUACUCUGUUUUCCUUCACUUUUGCUUUAUUAAAAA